UACGUAGGAGGCGAGCGUUGUCCGGAGUUACUGGGCGUAAAGGGUGCGCAGGCGGCCGAUCGCGGUUUGCGGUGAAAGCUCCCGGCUUACCUGGGAGAGGGCCGUGAAGACGGGUUGGCUUGAGGCUCGGAGAGGGACGUGGAAUUCCGGGUGGAGCGGUGAAAUGCGUAGAGAUGUGGAGGAACACCGAUGGCGAAGGCAGCCCCUGGGUCAAAACUGACGCUCAUGCACGAAAGCGUGGGGAGCAAACAGG
rnacentral:rRNA from 1 species